rnacentral:rRNA from 1 species
CCUACGGGAGGCAGCAGUGAGGAAUAUUGGUCAAUGGGCGGAAGCCUGAACCAGCCAAGUAGCGUGCAGGAUGACGGCCCUACGGGUUGUAAACUGCUUUUAUACGGGAAUAACGCGCCUUACGUGUAGGGUUUUGCAUGUACCGUAUGAAUAAGGACCGGCUAAUUCCGUGCCAGCAGCCGCGGUAAUACGGAAGGUCCGGGCGUUAUUCGGAUUUAUUGGGUUUAAAGGGAGCGUAGGCCGCAUGUCAAGUGUGCUGUGAAAUGGCCGGGCUCAACCCGGGCCUUGCAGCGCAAACUGGCGUGCUUGAGUCCGCGGAAGGCAGGCGGAAUUCGUGGUGUAGCGGUGAAAUGCUUAGAUAUGACGAAGAACCCCGAUGGCGAAGGCAGCUUGCUGCAGCGGAACUGACGCUGAUGCUCGAAAGCGCGGGUAUCGAACAGGAUUAGAUACCCGAGUAGUC